CUUCUGAGCUACAUAAUGACUUUAUCACUGUAAUUAAAACCAGGAUUUCUGAAACCUCCAAGUAAUCUUUUAAAGUUUUCCAAUAUGGACAUAAAUUAACCCCUAUUCUUAUCUACAUAUCGAAUUUGAAAUAACUGUUGCAAUAUAUCAACAUUUUCACAGGAAGAAUUUUAAGGCUUCUGGCACAUAAAAUGUGCAAAAUCUGUGUGACAAUAAUGUUAUAAUUAUAUACAGAAAAUAUUUAAAAUUCUCCUUGAGCAACUUAAGUUCUAAAGAUUAAAAAACUUUUAAGUGUCCAUGUUAAUAAAAUAUUAAAACACUAUGAGCUUUUUGAUAAACUUGACACUGAUUUUGUAAUUACAUAAAGAAUGUGCAAGAUAAGACCUGCAGACUAAGUGAUUCAUCAUUGAAAUUAAAUGUUAAACUGAAUAUACUUAUUGAUAUCAUUAGUUUUUUAGAUCAAACUUUCAGUGCAAACAGGCUUUAAUAUAACUUAAAAACAUUUCCAAUUAAACUGCAACGUUGAGGCAGCAAAUGUCAGAUCUAUAUUUGCCUAGCUAUUUAGGUGUCACAUAAAUAAGUCUAUGAAUCCUAAUUUAUACUUUUGUCUAAGUCGCCAUUGUAGAUAAUGUUUUAAUAAGUGGAAAAUAAGUGAAAUCAACAAAAAAUGACUAUUUCUCACUAUUUAACACCUUGUCUUAAAGUUCUGAACCAGCAUAUUCAGUUCUUAAGGCAAAAAAAGGCCAAACUUAUUAUUAUAAAUUAUAAAUUUUGGUAAUUUUUUUUUGCAUGAAAAGUCACAGCACAAAUUCCUAUGCUUUAAUAGAUAAUAUAUUAGAGUGUAUCUCAAUAUACAUUUGCUAACAUUCUCCAUCAGUAUGAAGUUGGGCGGGGCUAUUUUUCAUUUCCUGGGGCAAAACCUUCCACUGAAACCGUAGGUAAGGCUGUU
rnacentral:lncRNA from 1 species